rnacentral:rRNA from 1 species
UACGUAGGGUGCGAGCGUUAAUCGGAAUUACUGGGCGUAAAGCGUGCGCAGGCGGUUUUGUAAGCCAGAUGUGAAAUCCCCGGGCUUAACCUGGGAAUGGCAUUUGGGACUGCAAGGCUUGAGUGCGGCAGAGGAGACUGGAAUUCCUGGUGUAGCAGUGAAAUGCGUAGAGAUCGGGAGGAACACCAGUGGCGAAGGCGGCCUUCUGGACCAAUACUGACGCUCAUGCACGAAAGCGUGGGGAGCAAACAGG